UACGUAGGGGCCAAGCGUUGUCCGGAUUUAUUGGGCGUAAAGAGCUCGUAGGCGGUUCGGCAAGUCAGCUGUGAAAUCUCCACGCUCAACGUGGAGGGGUCAGCUGAUACUGCUGUGACUUGAGUCCGGUAGGGGAGUGUGGAAUUCCCGGUGUAGCGGUGAAAUGCGCAGAUAUCGGGAGGAACACCUGUGGCGAAAGCGGCGCACUGGACCACAACUGACGCUGAGGCGCGAAAGCUAGGGGAGCAAACAGG
rnacentral:rRNA from 1 species